rnacentral:rRNA from 1 species
ACACCGGCCGCUCAAGUGGUAGCCGCUUUUAUUGGGCCUAAAGCGUCCGUAGCCGGUCUGAUAAGUCUCUGGUGAAAUCCCGCAGCUUAACUGUGGGAAUUGCUGGAGAUACUAUCAUGACUCGAGGUCGGGAGAGGCUGGAGGUACUCCCAGGGUAGGGGUGAAAUCCUGUAAUCCUGGGAGGACCACCUGUGGCGAAGGCGUCCAGCUGGAACGAACCUGACGGUGAGGGACGAAAGCCAGGGGCGCGAACCGGAUUAGAUACCCGGGUAGUCCUGGCCGUAAACGAUGUGGACUUGGUGUUGGGAUGGCUUCGAGCUGCCCCAGUGCCGAAGGGAAGCUGUUAAGUCCACCGCCUGGGAAGUACGGCCGCAAGGCUGAAACUCAAAUGAAUUGGCGGGG